ACGAACGCUGGCGGCGUGCUUAACACAUGCAAGUCGAGCGGUAAGGCCCUUUCGGGGGUACACGAGCGGCGAACGGGUGAGUAACACGUGGGUGACCUGCCCUUAGCUCUGGGAUAAGCCUGGGAAACUGGGUCUAAUACCGGAUAUGACUCCAUGACGCAUGUUGUGGGGUGGAAAGCCUUGUGCGGCUAGGGAUGGGCCCGCGGCCUAUCAGCUUGUUGGUGGGGUGAUGGCCUACCAAGGCGACGACGGGUAGCCGGCCUGAGAGGGCGACCGGCCACACUGGGACUGAGACACGGCCCAGACUCCUACGGGAGGCAGCAGUGGGGAAUCUUGCGCAAUGGGCGAAAGCCUGACGCAGCGACGCCGCGUGGGGAUGACGGCCUCGGUUGUAAC
rnacentral:rRNA from 1 species